UACAGUUAUAAGAGCUUCUGACUGUAGGCUACUUGAUUUGGUGCUACAUAUGUAAAAUAUAUUGACAUAACAGAUUAAACGACUGCUUUAAUGGACAUCUGUAUUUCUAACAAUGUAGACCUAAUUCUUUGUUUUAUAGCUUGUUUGGACAAUUACAAUAAAUCAUAGCCUACGCAAAUUUGAUAAAUUAUUAUACGUUUGAUGAGUAAAUAAUACAGGUAAUACUUUAUUUAAAUAUAAUAAAUAUUUACAGCAACAUUCCAUGAAAAUGCUGUCCAUCCAUAAAUGUUUGAGAUAUUGAGAUACACAAUUUCAUUUAUUAGACAAAAGGUGGCAGUAAAUAGCCAUAUAUUGCUGAUUAGUACGGUGACGUUUGGUUUUUAGCCAUUGAGUUUAUUAGAUUAUUUUUGUGUAUUCGACAAUUCGACGUUAAAAUAAUAUUGUGUAUAGGACUAUAUGAAUGUCGUCCCUUUGGAGAGGGAAAAUGUAGUUUUAGGUGCCAGACGCUUCUUUUGUAGUCUAGUCUACAACGUAUUACGUAAAGCUGUCGGUAUGUACCCUGGCCAACCGGUAUAGCUUAAAAACCGGGUUCGCCUCUUAUUAAAAGUGUAGCAAUGUUUUAAAACCUGCAAUGUCUUCUGUAUCAUAAAAUUCAAGUUGGCCCCUAGUAUCAAUGUUCACUCUUUCACCAUGUGCUGCAACUGUUGCAGAAUUAGGUAGCUACACCUUCUUUAUAGUUUUAUUUAUUUUAUUUUUUUUAUCAUUUUAUAUAUUUAUAUAAUAAACAGUAUCUACAAUAUGUUCUAUGGAAGUGCUUUUUUAUUUUUUUCAGUCACAUUUCCUUUGGACCUUACUAAAACCAGACUUCAGAUACAGGGUGAAGGUGGUUCCCGACUGCACAGUGGACAAAAUACAGAAAUACAGGGGCAUGUUGAGCACAGCUAUGGUUAUAGUGCGAGAAGAAGGGCCCUUCAAAAUGUGGCAAGGGGUCACACCAGCUGUCUACAGACAUAUAAGUAUAAUGUUAAUUGCAAUGAGCUUUAUUAACAAAUGGGAGUUAUAUCCAUGCAUGGAAUGAUAAUUGCCUGAAUUAAUACAUUUAUUUGAAUCCCCUUCUGACCUUUGGAAUUCUUCGUUUUUAGUGUAUUCAGGCAGCAGGAUUUCUUCUUAUGAACAGCUCAUAGAAUCAGUGUUGGGAAGAUCUGAAGAUGGCAUUUUUCCAGUCUGUUGAGGGAAAGAUCUGAAAUAUGAAACAGAACAUUGAUUGAAGUCUAAAUAGAUGGAAUCAGCAUGUGUUCUGUGAUGUGUAGGAAAGCAGUGAUCAGCAGCAUGAUAUCAGGUGCCUUAGGCCAGUUCAUCGCUAGUCCAACAGAUCUAGUGAAGGUUCAGAUGCAAAUGGAGGGCCGGCGCGGUCUUGAAGGGAAGCCGCCCAAGGCCAUCCAAGAUGUAGAUGAGUUUGUUUCUUCAUCGGAACAGAUUUGGAGAACUUCAGCAUUACAUCACUUGCUCACCACAGGAUCCUCUGCAGUGAAUGGGGGCCGUCAGAAUGAAGUACAUGGAGUUUACAAUGAUUUUAUUGAAGAUCAUGGCAGAGGGAGGAAUACGAGGCCUUUAGGCUGGAUGGGUUCCCAGUGUUCAGAGAGGUGCAUUGAUCAAUUUAGGAGGUACAGUAGUCAAAACUUCUUGAGAUCUAUUUGCAGCUGCAGUUUUGCAUAUACAUCAAAUAUUUUUUUCAAAAAUAAAACGUUAUAGCAAUCAUUCAAGCCUUUUUAUAAAAAAAAAAUAUACCAUUGUUGUCUCCCUCUCUUUUUUAUAUACUUUUAAGCAAUAAUUGAGUGUUUAAACUGGUCUCCCAAUCUGAUUAUUUUAUAUUAUUGCAGU